rnacentral:lncRNA from 1 species
UAAGAGUUAAAUUACGGAAAAGAGUAACUUUGAGUACUAAACUAGAAAGUCCAUUGGCCUGAUGGAUAAACGGCACAGAUCUGUUAAAUUGUGGUUUAAAACAGAUAUUUUGGAGACUUAUACUCAUUAGAUUAGUCUCGAAUUGGAUGGUUAAAUUGAAAAUUUGCCAAAGAGAUGAGAUCUUCAAGUGACAAUUUUACCGACUGCUGUUGCGAGCCGCGUGAUGGACGAUGCCGCUGCUGUGUGUCGCACUUCAUGUGUUCCAGGAAACACCGAUGUUGUGCAUGAGGGUGCGGCCGGUUAUCUAAUUUUUUCGCUGCGCCACGAGAGUGCGCUGUUGUAAAGAACAUCGGCUGUUGGCCGUGACCAUCAUUGCUGGAUGCGCUGGUGUCGUAAUUGCCUUUCGUGAGAUGAAGGGAUCAAAUAUGGAUGGAUCCAUCUGUUUCCAUGUGAAGAAGCGAUUCUCACAAAGGUGUACAUGCAAAAAGGAUCAAUAAUCAGAUCAUUGAUUUUAAUUACAAGAAGACGAGCAAAUUAGUAUUCUCGUGGCCGACUUCCUGCGUGGUUGCAUGCUUGUUAAUAUGUGUUGUAGAUGGCGGAGUGGAUGAUCGGCUCCUUGGGCAGGGUCCGUGCAUGGCUGUAGAGCAAUCAAGAUGCAAGGAUCUCAAUCAAAACUAUUUUGUCCAGCGAUUCUUCUAGGAACUGAAUCAACCAUCUUGUCCAGCGAUAAUCCGAGAUCAAUUGCUCUCAGCAUGGAGAACAAAAGUGCUGAU